AUUCACAUAGUUUAAAAUUAAAACAUUACAUUUUCACUGUAAAAAUAAAGAAAUUCUUUUGUAAAUU
rnacentral:tRNA from 1 species